rnacentral:rRNA from 1 species
UACGGGGGGGGCAAGCGUUGUUCGGAAUUACUGGGCGUAAAGGGCUCGUAGGCGGCCAACUAAGUCGGACGUGAAAUCCCCAGGCUCAACCUGGGAACUGCGUCCGAUACUGGAUGGCUUGAAUUCGGGAGAGGGAUGCAGAAUUCCAGGUGUAGCGGUGAAAUGCGUAGAUAUCUGGAAGAACACCCGUGGCGAAGGCGGCUCUCUGGGACGGUACUGACGCUGAGACGCGAAAGCGUGGGGAGCGAACAGG